rnacentral:lncRNA from 1 species
CUAAACUCUGAUCCCGGCCUCCACUUCCAAGGGAAAGCAGCAUAACCCAGAACGGAACUUUCUUCCUUGUGAGACCGCCUCCGUCUUCUAGUCUGGUCUUUCCUAUUGGUGUUGUUCCAUCGGGGAUUCAGUGUUCCAUGCAUCGAUACCAGUUCGUCCAUCACCCAUGAGAUAGGGAUCUCGUAGUAAAUCCCUUGUUUCCUUAGUCAAUGAAUGCUCUGCUUCUGCGCCUCUUCAUACUUUUCGCUAGCUAAGCGAGCCCUUCUUGGGAGACCUCUAGAUCCCUGCCCUGCGUGUUCCAUUCUAGCUACCGGGGUGUUCUUUUUCUUCUCAUACGAGAUUUCUAAAUCGGAUUCUAUCUCCACUGAAGGGGAACUAAUCCAACUAUGGAUUUCUCUUCUACUUAGCUAAACGAAUAGGGUCAUCGCCGACACCUGUAGUAAUCAACUGCUUUUUUUCUUUUAGGCUAGCCUAUCUAAAGAGUGAAACUCGUACCUCCAAAGCAGCUCCGAAGCAACUCGUAUCAGGCCAACAUGGGAUUGGCCCAAUAGAAAAAUCGCACGAGAACCAACCCUCAUGUGUGAUUCCCUUCAAAGGGCACCAAACUUGCUUUCUAUAUUGUAGAGCUUCCAGAGGUUCGUCUUAUACCAAAGGGACUAUUUCCUCUACUUCGUAGGGUAAUCACCAGACUAACCAAUAAGGUUAUUCGUUAUCCAUGGCAGGCCUUAUCUCAUUGGUUGGGCUGGUUGAAAGGCUGAUCUUUAGUUCAUUCCACGAUGCUCUAUCGGGUGAGCGAACAAGCUAUAGACUAGAAGACAUAGGGAAUAGG